UCCGUAGGCGGAUUGAUAAGUCAGAGGUGAAAUCCCACAGCUUAACUGUGGAACUGCCUUUGAAACUGUUAGUCUUGAGUUAUAUGGAAGUAGAUAGAAUGUGUAGUGUAGCGGUGAAAUGCAUAGAGAUUACACAGAAUACCGAUUGCGAAGGCAGUCUACUACGUAUAUACUGACGCUAAUGGACGAAAGCGUGGGGAGCGAACAGGAUUAGAUACCCUGGUAGCCC
rnacentral:rRNA from 1 species